UACAGAGGUCUCGAGCGUUGUUCGGAUUCAUUGGGCGUAAAGGGUGCGUAGGCGGCGAGGUAAGUCGGAUGUGAAAUCCCGGGGCUCAACCCCGGAACUGCAUUCGAUACUGCCUUGCUCGAGUACUGGAGAGGAGACUGGAAUUUACGGUGUAGCAGUGAAAUGCGUAGAUAUCGUAAGGAAGACCAGUGGCGAAGGCGAGUUCCUGGACAGUUACUGACACUGAGGCACGAAGGCCAGGGGAGCAAACGGG
rnacentral:rRNA from 1 species